CGAGCAAGGACCAGCCCUAAGCUUGUACUUGCAUGUUUGAUAGGACUUCUCUCUUCGGUGGGCUACUGUUACCUUCAGAGAUGGGGUCUGGCCCUACCUCAGCCCCCUCACCUGCCUGUUAAAUGCCCUCUAUCAUCUUCCCUCAGGGUCUUCCUCUCAGGGCGGGGAAGACCUGAUGGGCGGUGGUGCACAUUGCCAGUGGCCUCCAUGGUACAGAUUCUGUUUUCUUCAGCCAUUGAGCUGUGUGACCAUAAUCUGUGUGGGUGGGACCCAGUCAGGCCGUUGGCAGUGCUGACUCUCCCCUUCCUGCCUUUCCCGCAUUUGGAGGUUCCCCAGUCCCCUAACUUGGGACUCCUGCCAGCUUCAGGUCAGCCGUGUCUUCUAAUC
rnacentral:lncRNA from 1 species